rnacentral:rRNA from 1 species
GGUUAAGCGACUAAGCGUACACGGUGGAUGCCCUGGCAGUCAGAGGCGAUGAAGGACGUGCUAAUCUGCGAUAAGCGUCGGUAAGGUGAUAUGAACCGUUAUAACCGGCGAUUUCCGAAUGGGGAAACCCAGUGUGAUUCGUCACACUAUCAUUAACUGAAUCCAUAGGUUAAUGAGGCGAACCGGGGGAACUGAAACAUCUAAGUACCCCGAGGAAAAGAAAUCAACCGAGAUUCCCCCAGUAGCGGCGAGCGAACGGGGAGCAGCCCAGAGCCUGAAUCAGUGUGUGUGUUAGUGGAAGCGUCUGGAAAGGCGCGCGAUACAGGGUGACAGCCCCGUACACAAAAAUGCACAUGCUGUGAGCUCGAUGAGUAGGGCGGGACACGUGGUAUCCUGUCUGAAUAUGGGGGGACCAUCCUCCAAGGCUAAAUACUCCUGACUGACCGAUAGUGAACCAGUACCGUGAGGGAAAGGCGAAAAGAACCCCGGCGAGGGGAGUGAAAAAGAACCUGAAACCGUGUACGUACAAGCAGUGGGAGCACGCUUAGGCGUGUGACUGCGUACCUUUUGUAUAAUGGGUCAGCGACUUAUAUUCUGUAGCAAGGUUAACCGAAUAGGGGAGCCGAAGGGAAACCGAGUCUUAACUGGGCGUUAAGUUGCAGGGUAUAGACCCGAAACCCGGUGAUCUAGCCAUGGGCAGGUUGAAGGUUGGGUAACACUAACUGGAGGACCGAACCGACUAAUGUUGAAAAAUUAGCGGAUGACUUGUGGCUGGGGGUGAAAGGCCAAUCAAACCGGGAGAUAGCUGGUUCUCCCCGAAAGCUAUUUAGGUAGCGCCUCGUGAAUUCAUCUCCGGGGGUAGAGCACUGUUUCGGCAAGGGGGUCAUCCCGACUUACCAACCCGAUGCAAACUGCGAAUACCGGAGAAUGUUAUCACGGGAGACACACGGCGGGUGCUAACGUCCGUCGUGAAGAGGGAAACAACCCAGACCGCCAGCUAAGGUCCCAAAGUCAUGGUUAAGUGGGAAACGAUGUGGGAAGGCCCAGACAGCCAGGAUGUUGGCUUAGAAGCAGCCAUCAUUUAAAGAAAGCGUAAUAGCUCACUGGUCGAGUCGGCCUGCGCGGAAGAUGUAACGGGGCUAAACCAUGCACCGAAGCUGCGGCAGCGACACUAUGUGUUGUUGGGUAGGGGAGCGUUCUGUAAGCCUGUGAAGGUGUACUGUGAGGUAUGCUGGAGGUAUCAGAAGUGCGAAUGCUGACAUAAGUAACGAUAAAGCGGGUGAAAAGCCCGCUCGCCGGAAGACCAAGGGUUCCUGUCCAACGUUAAUCGGGGCAGGGUGAGUCGACCCCUAAGGCGAGGCCGAAAGGCGUAGUCGAUGGGAAACAGGUUAAUAUUCCUGUACUUGGUGUUACUGCGAAGGGGGGACGGAGAAGGCUAUGUUGGCCGGGCGACGGUUGUCCCGGUUUAAGCGUGUAGGCUGGUUUUCCAGGCAAAUCCGGAAAAUCAAGGCUGAGGCGUGAUGACGAGGCACUACGGUGCUGAAGCAACAAAUGCCCUGCUUCCAGGAAAAGCCUCUAAGCAUCAGGUAACAUCAAAUCGUACCCCAAACCGACACAGGUGGUCAGGUAGAGAAUACCAAGGCGCUUGAGAGAACUCGGGUGAAGGAACUAGGCAAAAUGGUGCCGUAACUUCGGGAGAAGGCACGCUGAUAUGUAGGUGAAGCGACUUGCUCGUGGAGCUGAAAUCAGUCGAAGAUACCAGCUGGCUGCAACUGUUUAUUAAAAACACAGCACUGUGCAAACACGAAAGUGGACGUAUACGGUGUGACGCCUGCCCGGUGCCGGAAGGUUAAUUGAUGGGGUCAGCGCAAGCGAAGCUCUUGAUCGAAGCCCCGGUAAACGGCGGCCGUAACUAUAACGGUCCUAAGGUAGCGAAAUUCCUUGUCGGGUAAGUUCCGACCUGCACGAAUGGCGUAAUGAUGGCCAGGCUGUCUCCACCCGAGACUCAGUGAAAUUGAACUCGCUGUGAAGAUGCAGUGUACCCGCGGCAAGACGGAAAGACCCCGUGAACCUUUACUAUAGCUUGACACUGAACAUUGAGCCUUGAUGUGUAGGAUAGGUGGGAGGCUUUGAAGUGUGGACGCCAGUCUGCAUGGAGCCGACCUUGAAAUACCACCCUUUAAUGUUUGAUGUUCUAACGUUGACCCGUAAUCCGGGUUGCGGACAGUGUCUGGUGGGUAGUUUGACUGGGGCGGUCUCCUCCUAAAGAGUAACGGAGGAGCACGAAGGUUGGCUAAUCCUGGUCGGACAUCAGGAGGUUAGUGCAAUGGCAUAAGCCAGCUUGACUGCGAGCGUGACGGCGCGAGCAGGUGCGAAAGCAGGUCAUAGUGAUCCGGUGGUUCUGAAUGGAAGGGCCAUCGCUCAACGGAUAAAAGGUACUCCGGGGAUAACAGGCUGAUACCGCCCAAGAGUUCAUAUCGACGGCGGUGUUUGGCACCUCGAUGUCGGCUCAUCACAUCCUGGGGCUGAAGUAGGUCCCAAGGGUAUGGCUGUUCGCCAUUUAAAGUGGUACGCGAGCUGGGUUUAGAACGUCGUGAGACAGUUCGGUCCCUAUCUGCCGUGGGCGCUGGAGAACUGAGGGGGGCUGCUCCUAGUACGAGAGGACCGGAGUGGACGCAUCACUGGUGUUCGGGUUGUCAUGCCAAUGGCACUGCCCGGUAGCUAAAUGCGGAAGAGAUAAGUGCUGAAAGCAUCUAAGCACGAAACUUGCCCCGAGAUGAGUUCUCCCUGACUCCUUGAGAGUCCUGAAGGAACGUUGAAGACGACGACGUUGAUAGGCCGGGUGUGUAAGCGCAGCGAUGCGUUGAGCUAACCGGUACUAAUGAACCGUGAGGCUUAACCUU